rnacentral:rRNA from 1 species
GACGUAGGGCGCGAGCGUUGUCCGGAUUUAUUGGGCGUAAAGAGCUCGUAGGCGGCUUGUCGCGUCGGAUGUGAAAGCUCGGAGCUCAACUCCGAAAUGGCAUUGGAAACUACCUUGCUCGAGGGUUGGAGGGGGACUGGAAUACUUGGUGUAGCAGUGAAAUGCGUAGAUAUCAAGUGGAACACCAGUGGCGAAGGCGAGUCCCUGGACAACUCCUGACACUGAGGCACGAAAGCUAGGGGAGCAAACAGG